UUCUGUCUUGCCAGUCUGUGAGGGUUGGAGGAGCCCAAGCCUUCGGAUUCAGUUUCCUUUCUUACCUGAUGUUUUCCUGCCAGAACACCAUGGUUUGCCUUGAGUUGGAAGUGGUUUGCAUUUACACCUGUAAAUGUAUUCAUCCUUUUAAUUUAUGUAAGGUUUUUUUUUUAUUAUACACC